CAGUAGCCGCGGGAAUACGUAGGUGGCAAGCGUUGUCCGGAAUUAUUGGGCGUAAAGGGCUCGCAGGCGGUUUCUUAAGUCUGAUGUGAAAGCCCCCGGCUCAACCGGGGAGGGUCAUUGGAAACUGGGAAACUUGAGUGCAGAAGAGGAGAGUGGAAUUCCACGUGUAGCGGUGAAAUGCGUAGAGAUGUGGAGGAACACCAGUGGCGAAGGCGACUCUCUGGUCUGUAACUGACGCUGAGGAGCGAAAGCUAGGGGAGCAAACAGGAUUAGAGACCCCGUAGUCCCUGUCUCUUAUACC
rnacentral:rRNA from 1 species